UAUCCUCUAUAUGAAUUAUAAUAUAAAGUAUGUAUCAAACAUGGUUGAUGCAACUAGAAUUGUUAUGUUACAGAUAAUUAUUUAUCAUUUUUACAGUUCUUUCAGGCGAUCCGUUUAGAGUACGCAUAUUUUAUCUCAUAUGCUAUAUACUGAUUGGAGUUGGCUUAUUUAUAAUAUGUUUCGGCCUAUUUCACUGGAAAGUCUCACUUAAUUUGGACAAAAAGAUAGUUCUGUGGCUAAAGAAGUGUUGCGGGCGUGCUCCAAAGGCUGAGGAAGAACCUGACAUUGAAAAAGGAACGCACGCGGAGGCGACAGAAAGAAAAGGCAAAUGCUGUGAACCAUUUCAUGAAUGUUCCACAAAUAUCAAGGGACUUCUAAAACAAGUAGAACAUUUGGAGAAGUUGGAUAAUAUAAUUGAUAAAACACUAGAUCAUAAAUUAAAGCGAUAUUUGUGGUAAGACAUGCUCAGGAUGAGAUCUACAGAAGGCGCAGAGCACCAUAUUAUGGAAAGACUCCUCGUUCAAAAAAUCCAAGGACUCAAGCAUUUUCGGAUAACCGAUUCCAUUGCCUGCAAAUGCUGUCAACCAUUUCAUGAAUGUUACACAAAUAUCAAAGGACUUCUAAAACAAGUAGAACAUUUGGAGAAGUUGGAUAAUAUAAUUGAUAAAACACUAUAUUAUAAAUUAAAGCGAUAUUUGUGGUAA